rnacentral:rRNA from 1 species
UACGGGGGGGGUAAGCGUUGUUCGGAAUUACUGGGCGUAAAGGGCUCGUAGGCGGCCAACUAAGUCAGACGUGAAAUCCCUCAGCUUAACUGGGGAACUGCGUCUGAUACUGGAUGGCUUGGAUUCGGGAGAGGAAUGCGGAAUUCCAGGUGUAGCGGUGAAAUGCGCAGAUAUCAGGAGGAACACCGGUGGCGAAGGCGGUUCUCUGGGCAUGUCCUGACGCUGAGGAGCGAAAGUGUGGGGAGCGAACAGG